rnacentral:rRNA from 1 species
UCGAGAAUCUUCCGCAAUGGGCGCAAGCCUGACGGAGCAAUGCCGCGUGAUUGAUGAAGGCCUUUGGGUUGUAAAGAUCUGUCACCUGGGACGAAAUUUGACGGUACCAGGAGAGGAAGUGACGGCUAACUACGUGCCAGCAGCCGCGGUAAUACGUAGGUCACGAGCGUUAAUCGGAUUUAUUGGGCGUAAAGGGUCCGCAGGGGGUUUAUUAAGUUUGAUGUGAAAUGCCGAGGCUCAACCUUGGAAGUGCAUUGAAAACUGAUGAACUAGAGUAUUUUAGAGGAAAGUGGAAUUUCUGGUGUAGCGGUGGAAUGCUUAGAUAUCAGAAGGAACAUCGAGAGCGAAGGCAGCUUUCUGGGAAAAGACUGACCCUCAUGGACGAAUGCGUAGGUAGCAAACA